rnacentral:lncRNA from 1 species
UCCAUGUCGGAUGAUCGGUUUAAAGAUUCUUCAUUAUUUUCCAUGCGCUCUCUCGUGACUUUAGAGAAUUGUUUGUUUUUCAUGUGUUUUUAUUGCCAUGAUGAGAAUCGUCUCAAAGUUACCUUAAAGUCGAAGUGUUUGUGUUUAUUUAUAGAGGAGAUAUGUGUAAGGUCUGUGUUAUAAUUUAUAAAUAUCAGAUUUCAGAUAUGUGUUUGUGUGCUUGAUGUAAAUGAAAUCUGAUAUUUAUAAAUUAUAAUACUUCUGAAUUUUUGUGUGUUUAUGAUUGUUUGUGAGAAUAAUCUCGAGCUUUUCUUAUAUAUAAUAACGAGACUUCUUGAUGUUUAUCAGUUUAUGCUUCUUUCUUAGCAUCUGUUUCCAGAAUUGGUUACUUGAUAGUGUCAUUAAUGAUAUGCGAAUUUAUACUCAUGUUCGUCCCUUUAUCGUUACAUUCGUUAAUAAAAAAGCUGGUUUUUGGACCUUUAGUAGAGUACUAUUCAGAUUCUCAAAGAAGUACAAAAUUAAAUCUACUAGCUUGUAGAUCAUAUCUCGUCUAAAUAGUAUCACAGAUGGCAGUUGUAAUUAGUUAUGUCAAAAAAUAGGUUAAUGUAACCAAGUUUCACUUCAUUUUGGUAUAAAAGCAAAGAAAUGACAAGUUAAAAGUAUUAAAAACAAAUUGAACGCGUUGGAUCUUUCUUUAAGGAUAAGUUCUUGUUAACUUUUUAUAGAAAAAUAAAAUAUUAAGUUUCUUCUUUUGCCCAUCUUUCUUUUUUUUUUAGUUUUUAUUUUAUUUUUAAUUAUUCUCUUUUUGAAAAAGGCAAAGGCAAAAGUAUCAAAGGAAUCGUCAAUGAGUGUGCCUUCUGCAAUUCAGUUUCGUGUUUAUUCUCUCAUUUAACAUAAAGUAUUAGUGCACAACCCAAUUUAAUUUAUAACUUCUUAUAUGAAGUUUCUGUAGGUUAGUUUUAUACAAUGUUGCCUCGUUUUAGUAUGUUAGUACAAGUCUUUGGCCUAGUGCAAAUUUAGAAGUUUACGCAAUUUUUGAGGAUCUUGACAAUUAACAACACUUUAUGUUUCUUUUUCUGAAUUUAAACAUCUAAAAAAUAGGAUCAUAUAAAUACUUUUCUUAAUUAUCUCCAAAUAAAUUCAAAAACUGCCCUCGUGAAAUCAACAUCACGCCAUCGUCUUCUUUCUUUAGUGUUUUCACCUUCUUCCACCUCCAACUUACAUAGACAGCUCCUUUCCACCUGUUCUCUCUUUUUUAUUAUAUUCUCCGACAAAAGAGAAAAACCACAAGAAACUCAGACCAGAGUGUUUAGGAACUUUAAAGUUAUGGGCUCUUCUUCUUCUUGUUCUAACUCUUCUUGCUCUGCGUCACGUUCACCGCCGGAGAAGACACUCAACGCAACGACGGUUCCGAGAGCUUUCUCGUUCCCGAUGCCGUCGGUUCACCACCCGCCGGUUAAAAAAGGCGACACGCACCACCUCGUCUCCCUCACGUCCACCACUUACGGUUCUCUUCUACACGUCGAUUAUAGAAAUGGCUAUGCCUUUGGAAGUGGCGGUGCAGCUGACGAAAACGGUGUGGUUUGCUCUAAGCGGCUGGAUUUUCACAUGUUUGUAUAUCGCUGAUGAAAUCACCAGUUCUCUCAGAAACAGAGAUAUAGGCCAUGUCCAUGUCGGAUGAUCGGUUUAAAGAUUCUUCAUUAUUUUCCAUGCGCUCUCUCGUGACUUUAGAGAAUUGUUUGUUUUUCAUGUGUUUUUAUUGCCAUGAUGAGAAUCGUCUCAAAGUUACCUUAAAGUCGAAGUGUUUGUGUUUAUUUAUAGAGGAGAUAUGUGUAAGGUCUGUGUUAUAAUUUAUAAAUAUCAGAUUUCAGAUAUGUGUUUGUGUGCUUGAUGUAAAUGAAAUCUGAUAU